UUGCUUUGGCAGCACAUAUACUAAAAUUGGAACAAAUACAGAGAAGAUUAGCAUGGCCCCAGUGAAAGAAGACUCUCAAAUUCAUGAAAGAUUCCAUAUUUUU